AGAGGGUCGGAGAAGCCGCGGCCACGACCCUGCCGCCCCGAGGGGCGAUCUCUCGGGCAGAGGCCAUCUGGAGCUGCCCACGCGAGCUCUCUCCCGCUCCCCGCGCGCCACCCGGGUCCCCGGGCUGGGCCUCUGUCGCCUGGGCCUCACCGCCCAGCCCUGCGGCCAACGUUAAAGAAGUUUACUUCGUCCGGGUGGCUGAACGCCGAGCGCGUGGGGAGCUCUCCGUACCCACCCCCCCCCCAAACUCUCGUUCCCACUUGGCUAGCGGGCGAAACAUGGUACCUUUGGGGGUUCCGAGCCGUGAGAACUGGGGGUUGGGGUGGAGGAGCGACAUCCUGGGGUCGCGGCCGAGUGCUGCCGGUCGCUCUGGAGACUGACUUAGGGACAGGGAAGUGUCGCUUGGUCCGGCUUCCCAAGUUUGUUCUCCUGUCGUUUCUUUCCACACUUGCACCCAUAACCCGUCAAAGUCGGGCUUGGAUGUGUGCACCCCACGUAUUAUGGAGUCCCAUCCUUCGGGACCCGUUCUGGUAAGGGUCAUUAGACACUUUCUUGGGUCCCGGGUAUUAGCCCGCCAGACCCCUGGAGCCAGCCGAGCAAUGAAGGCAGGGUUCCGAAAGGACUGAAUGAGUAGGGAAAAGUUUGUGUGCGGGAACUGUGGCCUAGAAUGGGAGAGACCCGCGCAGGGAACUGGGGUCACUGAGGGAAGACCCCCUCCGACCCCAGCUUGACCUGAACUGUUCUAGGGCAGAGUUUCCGAGCUCCCAGGCCAGAGGCUACGCUCGGUUCCGGGGUCACCGGACUUUGUGCCUGACUCUCCGCUGCGUCGGUUGGAGAGUGACCAGACCCGAGGCUCGGCGGCCCCGGCUGCCCUUCGGGAAUCCUCGAUCCCGGGCGUGGAGGAAGGAGCUGCACCCCAGCAGAGCUCGGAAGCGUGACCUGAGAUCCGCACCUCUGGCCACUACGCUCUGCGGGCGCUGGAGCCCCACAUCGCAGGCUCCGUCCCCAGAGGCCUGGCUCUGAGCGGCUCUGGGUGCGGGUACGCGCAGGCAGAGCCAGAGCGACAAGGGAUCGACAGCUUACUUCCUCCUCGCUGUUGGGAGAGGGCAAUCCUGGCGUGAGACACCUGGACAUUUUUUCAGGCGAUCUGAGAGCCAUUAAGGCAACUGUUUUGCCCAGCACCUUUGGAAGCUCGAAGCCUCACCAGUGUGAUUCUCUGAGUCCUCUGGAAGGAUCCCUUGAAACACACCCAGUUUCCCACCCCAAAAGAACCGGUUUGAGGGUAAAACCAGAUGAAAUUAGCCAAGGCCGCAGCAACCACUCGGACUAUUUUUGUGGGGUUUCUCAGCUAGUUUCUUAGGCUUUCUGCCGCCCCCACAACAAUCUUUCCUAAAGUGAGGCCUUUGCACCGGGAUGCUGUUAAAACUUAACAAUUUGCAUACGGGGGUGGGGGUGGGAGAAAAACAACCUGGGGAAAGAGAGGUGUUUUUUGGUUUUUGUUUUUUAAAUUUAUACUGGUUGUUUGUAUUUUCCACGCAAAGAAUUUCAAAACUAACAACCACCACCUCGAGCUUGGGAAGAAAAGACCCUUGCUAGUUCUUCGCUUUGAGUCUAGAGCUGGAAUUUUUAAUAGUUAAGGCUUCUCAUAAAGCGAUAGCAUUAAAGGAGUUCACUGCCUCUUACUAUUAUUAUUUAUUAGUACAAUUUUUUUUUUAGUUUAUUUGAGCUGUGAGGUAAGUUAAUUAAGGAACUGAAUCAAGUUUCCUUUCUUUCUUUUCCUUCUUUUUUUUCACUUAAUUUCUCCUUUUUUCUUCCUAAAAGCUGGUUCAUUGUGAUUAAAGCAGUGAUUAUCCCGAACACCCUAGGAAACACCCCUCCCAGGCCAGCUCCUUACUCCCUCCUUUUCUUCAGUAGUAAUAGUUUUAGGUUAUGACUGUUUUUACAUGGCUGAACAAUAAGUUUGGGAGAAGUUGACUAGAGGGCAGGUUUUGUAAUAGGGUUACAGGAUUUAGUGUGCUGUAAUAGUACUCUACACAAGCAGCCCUCCCCAGCAGCUGACAGUCAGGAGGGCCCGCCAUACCCCGAAUCUUUUCAUUUGGGAAUAGUUGUGAGAGACAUACAGAGGAAAGUGCAUGACACAGCUCACGUUUGCUUUUAAAAGUCGACUCUUCUGCAACGAGUCCAGCCAUCUCCAUCCAUUUCCCUACCCAGAACAGAACAUGUGCCUGAGGAGCCGCUGCUGUUGGGCGUUUGGUGGGUUUUUUUGUUUUUGUUUUUGUUUUUGUUUUUGUUUUUUUUUACUUUGGAAGGCAACCCCUUACUCAGAUGCCAGCUUUACACUUUCUCUUGUCUCAAGAGGGUCUUACUACACACAGCAUAUGAAAUAUCAGGCAUUACCAAAGUAGAUCUUGUUUAGACCCUUCUCCCUCCCGUGUUGUCCCCCAGACUGUCUGACUUCUACACAGAGGAAAACCUUAGAAAAGUUUUCAGAGCCACAGUGGCCCUGAAGCAGCCACUCUAAUUCUAUGUUCUGUGGCCCCAUCCUGUAGUAUGUGUCGUGUUUGAGUUUUACAAAGAAAGCUACGCCUUGCUAAGCACCAGUCCCAACACCACCAUUCAAUUUAAAAAAAAAUGAUUAUUUAGUUGAUCUUAGAAGUUAAUCUUAGAACCUUGAUAGUUUAUUCUACUUGAGUAUUCCUAUAAGGUAUUUUUCUGUUCCUUAUGAAAACUGGGAUUGUGGUGAGUAGGGUUCAUCUCUUAAAAGAUAUUCAACAAGUCUCCAGUUACUUGUAGAGAGAUAAGUAGCCUUGGAAGAAUUAUUUACCAUGAUGGAUAAAUCCUGGAAAAGGGAAUGUGCAAAUCUAAUGAUUUAAUUUGUGGUUACUUUUCUUUGAGUUUGGAUUUCCAGGUGCGUGCCUGUGUGUGUGUGUGUGUGUGUAUCUGUGUGUGUGUGUCUGUGUGUGUGUGUCUGUGUGUGUGUCUGUGUGUGUGUUGAGUUUUUUGGUUGGGUUGGUUCACUCCAUUUGGUGGUGAUGGUUUCAAGAUUCCUGCAGCUUCUAACAGGCCCCAUUCCGACUCCAUUCGUUUAACAAUUUUGCUGCUCAGCUUUUUAAAGGAAAGGAUAAUGUUGGAAGAAACUUAGAACAUCGGGAAUUACAGAGAAAGCAUUGACUCUCCUAAGGAAUACCUGAAAACCCCUUCUUACUCAUAUUAAUAAAGAAAUUCUAUUAUUUACCAAAGUAAUUUACUCAUUGUAAGCAGCUUAAUGGCCACACAUUGAUUUCUGGGCCCAAAAGGUUAGAGAAAACUAUAAUGAAUUCUCUUAUAAAACAAAAACAAACAAAU
rnacentral:lncRNA from 1 species